rnacentral:tRNA from 1 species
GGGUGUGGCUAAGUGGUAGAGUGUGUGCUCCGCAUGUGUGAGGUCCUGGGUUCAAUUCCCAGCACUGCA